AUCACCUAUCAACUAAGUACCAACAGCCCAUACGUCAAGUGCUUCGUUCGUGAUACCAUGAGAAAUGGACUCUAGUGACAUGAUCAAGUUUUAUCAUAAGUGGCGAUUUACAGGGCUCCACCAGCUAGUUUUAUUAAUCCGUUUGGAUUUUCUAAAGUCGCUGAGUUUUGCCUCUAAUCCUUCAUAGCUAUGAAAGAGUAAAAUAUUACCGCUGUGAAGGUCCACUGAACAAAGUUACCUCGAUGUACAUAUUGAAGCCCUUGAAGGAUCAUCAGUGUGAAACGGCGAAUAAAGUGUAUGGGAAGAGUUCCUGCAGUAGCAUACUCCAUAAAGUGUAUGGAAAUGCUUUUUUAUCUCAUGGAAAAGGGUUCCUGCAGUAGCAUACUCCAUAAGGAAACCAUAGGUUGUCGGAGUAAGCUUAUGUAUGCACUUUCCCGUGCAUUGAACAAUUACAGUUGAACCUUGGAACACUGAGAUUAGAUAAAAUUCUUGUCUCGCCUCAGACUCGGAUUUACAACUCUUAUAGACAUAAUACACCACAUUGCCAUCCGGUGUAUAAAUUGCAGUAGCUCCACCUUAGCAGAAUCCGCCUCAGACGUUAAUAUCUUCUUCAUUGUCCUAGGGAGUAACUCUAGAUCUAUUUGAUCACACAAAAUCUCUUCUGCUCCUACUUUUGGUCUUGCUAAAGCCAUCUGUUUCAUCUCUUUCACAAAGUCUGCAUAACUAUGAGUAGGGCUGGACACAAGACAAGUACUUGCAAAAUUGAAGAUAUUUGUGACCCGACUUGCCUUAUACAAGUAAUUGGAUUUUUGGCUUGUUUUGUCAAAACGAGUACUUGGUCAAGAAAAUUGAUUUCACCGCUGAUUAAGUCUUACGGAAUCAAGAAAAUUUUGUUGAAUCAUUAAAUUUAUUUUGCUUCCAAGCCAUUGUUUCAUUUCUUUUAUUAAUUUGUGUGAAAUUUUAUUAAUUUGUCUUCUGCUCUAGCCCUCUCUUUCACGUAUAUAACAUACAUAGAUUAAACUCAUCCAUUUUAACAUGUAUCCAAGUCCAAUUUUCUCGGUGGUCAAAGUGGCGUUCUUCGUACAAAUUAUCGAUAAAUUUUAUAGAGAAAUUUUACAAAUUAUGUAAUUUCUUACAAAAAUUUGAUCUAAAAAGUAG
rnacentral:sRNA from 1 species